AUGACCAGGAUCCAGGAGGCCGCCAGCCCCUCUGAGCCAGGCCAGGAUAAAGGGGCUUGGGACAGCAGUCAUGUGGCCAAACUCCAGGAAGGCUCCGUGGCCUCCUAUGAGCUGAUUCAACCACUCUCAGUGUCAGUGGCCCUGGGACAGACAGCCAGCAUCACCUGCUCUGGAGAUAACAUUGGGGGUAAAUAUACUCACUGGUACCAGCAGAAGCCAGGCCAGGCCCCUGUGCUGAUCAUCUAUCAAAAUACCAACUGGCCUUCAGGGAUCCCUGAUCGGUUCUCCGGCUCCAACUCGGGGAACAUAGCCACCCUGACCAUCAGCAGAGCCCAGGCCGAGGAUGAGGCCGACUAUUACUGUGAGGUGUGCGACAGUGGUGCUGCUCACAGUGAUACAGGCAGAUGA